rnacentral:rRNA from 1 species
UACGGAGGGUGCAAACGUUGCUCGGAAUCAUUGGGCGUAAAGCGCACGUAGGCGGCCUAAUAAGUCGGGUGUGAAAGCCCUGGGCUCAACCCAGGAAGUGCAUUCGAAACUGCUAGGCUUGAAUAUGGAAGAGGGUCGCGGAAUUCCCGGUGUAGAGGUGAAAUUCGUAGAUAUCGGGAGGAACACCAGUGGCGAAAGCGGCGACCUGGGCCAAUAUUGACGCUGAGGUGCGAAAGCGUGGGGAGCAAACAGG